rnacentral:lncRNA from 1 species
UUGCCAAAAGGCCUCUCUCAGCUGUUGUGAGUUUGCAGGCAGGAUCUGGGAGAUCUGAUUCAGCUCUCUGCUCCCCAGGAUGGAGACAAGGAUUGGAAGAAACAGCCCUUUAACGGCGGCAUUCCUGGUCAGAACUAGUUAUUAGUACUCGCGUCCGGACUUCUGAAGUUAAAAUGGAUAGUCUGAAAGCCGGAGCAACUGCGAGUGAAUUCUAGGACCUGGGAAGUGAAGACGGGAAGAAGCCAGAGGCCAUCUUUGCCUCAUACAAGUACAAGGCCAGCCUGGGCUACCAUGAGCCCAUCUAGAAAGAAGGAGGGGGGAGGAGGGGUGGGGAAAAAGAGGGGGAGGGAGAAAAGUGAGGGAGAGGGAGGGGGCAGAUCUGGAAGGCACAGUGCUAAUGCAUUCCUAUGAAGAAGGUGUUGCAUUCCAAAGGAGGUGGGGGGGCGGGGAGCUCAAGUAGUAAGGUUAUAAGGUUUUCAAGAAGAGAACUCUCUGGUGCAGUGCUGUAGUCAAGGCUUGGGUGAUCUAUGGUCUUAGAUGACCCGAACUCAAGGUUAUCUACACAGGAAGAGAAUUAGACUAAGUUAAGUAUUUGCUGACUUCUAGUUCGUUGACAUCCUGAUGACAGUUCCAAAAUGGAUGAGGAGUCGUUUCCUUACUGAGGAGAUAUCUUUGGGAUGGGUGGUGUGUGGCUCUUGGAGGAAGCAUUGUCAGCCUAGAUAAAAAGAUUUCACUUGAACUAUAGAUGUAGAACUCAGCUCCUCCUGCACCAGGCC